rnacentral:rRNA from 1 species
GCAAGCGUUAAUCGGAAUUACUGGGCGGAAAGGGUGCGUAGGCGGUUGUUUAAGUCUGUCGUGAAAUCCCCGGGCUCAACCUGGGAAUGGCGAUGGAUACUGGGCAGCUAGAGUGUGUCAGAGGAUGGUGGAAUUCCCGGUGUAGCGGUGAAAUGCGUAGAGAUCGGGAGGAACAUCAGUGGCGAAGGCGGCCAUCUGGGACAACACUGACGCUGAAGCACGAAAGCGUGGGGAGCAAACAGG